AUGGUGCAUGCCCUGGACCUGCUCGACGCCCCAGCAGAGCAAGAGCCUGCACCGGAAUGUUGCGUGCUCUCCACACACGCGGUUGCCGGCACAGAGUCGCCGCGCACCAUCCGUCUGUGCGCGCUCGUCGGCAAUCAGGUGAUGCUGCUGUUAGUCGACUCCGGGAGCACACACAGUUUCGUCUCCAAGGAGUUCGCCGAGCGUGUGCACGCGGUUUCUGUGCCCGUGCCUGCGGUGGAGGUCCGGGUGGCCAACGGCGAGCGCAUGAUGUGCAACAGCAUGGUAAAGGGACUGAACUGGUGGAUUCAAGGACACACGUUCGCCACAGACAUGAGGCAACUGGAUUUGGGUUCUUAUGACGGCGUGCUCGGCAUGGACUGGCUGGAGUAG
rnacentral:rRNA from 1 species